AUACGGAGGAUGCAAGCGUUAUCCGGAUUUAUUGGGUUUAAAGGGUGCGUAGGCGGUUUGCUAAGCGGGAGGUGAAAUGCCGGCGCUCAACGUCGGAAGUGCCUCCCGAACUGGUGGACUGGAAUGACUCUGCCGUGGGAGGAAUGUGUAGUGUAGCGGUGAAAUGCUUAGAGAUUACACAGAACACCGAUUGCGAAGGCAUCUCACGAAGGGUUGAUUGACGCUGAGGCACGAAAGCGUGGGGAUCAAACAGGAUUAGAUACCCUGGUAGUCCACGCAGUAAACGAUGAUGGCUAACGGCUGGGCUUAUCAGUUCAGUGGCCAAGCGAAAGCGAUAAGCCAUCCACCUGGGGAGUACGACCGCAAGGUUGAAACUCAAAUGAAUUGACGGGG
rnacentral:rRNA from 1 species